AAAUAUGGUAAGGUCUCUGUGUGUGGUGGGUUGAAUAAAAUGUAUCUCCUAGGUCUCAGAUAUUUGAAGACUGUUUGCCGUGCAUGAGGACGUGAGGAGGCGGUGUGAUCCUGGCGGUGAGCUUCCAAAGCCCCCCUCCAUCCCCGCUGUGCUCGCUCUGCUUCCUGUUGGGGAUCAGGAUGUGAGCUCUCAGCUGUUCCAGCAUCACACCUGCCUGCUACCAUACUUCCUGCUAUCACGAUGAUGGACUGCUAUCCCUGUGGAACUGGGUCAGUAACUUGAUGGAAGGCCCAGGUCUCAGAAGGCUUGUGAAGUCCGUGAGAUCACAGGAGGGGCAAAGAGAGAAGCUGCAGAUUUGACUGUGGUGACCUUCCAAGGCCUGGGAGUGAGAGGGUGACUGCUCCUUCUGAAGAUGAAGGGAAGCUCCGGACUCAUUCAGAUAAGGCAGGGUCUCCUCACUCCGACCCUCGGGCUCCAGUGUGAUCUAUGCCCCCUGGAAUCAAACUCUUAAUUGACUGCUUUGUGUCCUGGGAAGGCGUUGACCUCUUUUCCCUCAGAAGGAUCUGAGCAGCCGUCUCUGAGGCAUUUUUUUUUCCCUUAGCUCCUCCUCCUCCCUCGAGGAGUUAGCAUAAACAGCAUCAUUUUGGAGGCCUUCCUUGAUGACUUAGAGACAGGAAUCCUGGUGAUUCCUGUUAGAGGCACCUGCUAAUGGCCAGCACUGCAUUUCCCAUAAGCAGUCCUGAUUCUGUGUGCGGUGUGUGUUUGGCUGUUUGGUUUUUUUUUUUUUUUUUUACCCCCACUGGAGUGUUAAAAAGUCAGGAAGUGUUCAAAAACAUUUCUUAAAUAAAACAAUCUGAUCAA
rnacentral:lncRNA from 1 species